CCAGAGAAACUCGUGACCCCUUGUCUGGAGGGGAGAUGAUUCUCCUCUCAGCUGGCUCAGUGGAACGGGAAGCGGGAUUGAAGGAGCUCCUGGCAAGCUUCCUACUACCCCACCUUUUUCCAGCUUAGAAAUCGCAAGGCUACCCCAGCCCUUGAGGAUACCUUCCCUCCCUCCAAGCUCCUUUGACUCAUGUUCAGGGAUUUAUGCAGAAGAGUAUGCAGAGGUGGUGGGUGACUUCAAGAAAACAGUGUUUUCCAGACACAGCAGGGUUGACGAACAUAUGACCUGUGACAGAAUGCACAGACCUGUACAAGUUCAAGCCAGACAGAAUUCCAGCGUGGAGAAGAGGAAGUGAGCACAAAGUCCCAACCUAACAGAGAAGCUAUUCGCAAGUGAUAGCUGCUUGGAGACAGAAAAUUAGUUGUGUCCGUGGAGUGACCAGGUUAUACCAACUACACUCUAGGACAGGCCUCAUGGUUAAGAGUAGUUGGCUAACACAAAUGGACACCAUAUUUUUGUUGUUGUUUGGUUGAUGUUUUUUUUUUGAGAGAGAGAGAGAGAGAAAGAACAUGGAGUUGAGUGGUAGGUAAGAUCUUGGGGAGUUGAGGGAGGGUAAAGAAAAUGAUCAAAAUACAUUGCAUGAAAAACUUUUAAAAAUAAAUUCACAUUCUCCUGGGAACAAGGAUAGGUGUAAGCUAGCACCAUCGCCAUCAACAUUAUAGAGUAGCUGAAGGGAACCUCUCUGCCAUUGUCUCACCCCUAGAGUUGCUAGGGUGGCCCUUGGACCCAGCCCUCUUAGAAUGCACACACAUGAAUACUGUGGAGAUGCAUUUGUGGCUGCUUUGGGAGUGGCAUCUGGUAGAGUGUAAUAAGGUACAUGGAAAAAA